rnacentral:rRNA from 1 species
GGGGGAUAAGCUUCAUUGUCAAGAGGGAAACAGCCCAGACUACUAUUUAAGGCCCCUAAAUGUUUGCUAAGUGAUAAAGGAUGUAUUAAUACGUAGACAACCAGGAGGUUGGCUUAGAAGCAGCCAUUCCUUUAAAAAGUGCGUAAUAGCUUACUGGUCAAGUGUUUUUGCGCCGAAAAUGAAUGGGACUAAGUAAAUUGCCGAAAUUGUAGGAUAUUUAUAUUUAUCGGUAGGAGAGCGUUCUGUUUGGUGAGAAGUUUAUGAAAAUUAUAAGAUGGACUGAACAGAAGUGAGAAUGUCGGCUUAAGUAACGAAAACAUUGGUGGAAAUCCAUUGCCCUGAAAACCUAAGGUUUCCUUUGCUAGGUUCGUCCACAAAGGGUUAGUCAGGUUCUAAAAUAAUGUUUAAAAACGUAGUUGAUGAUAAACAGGUUAAUAUUCCUGUACCUCAUAUUGGUGUUUGUUCUAUGAGUGACGAAGAAGGAGAGCCUACCCAAAUGUUGGUUAUUUUGGUUUAAUUUACUGAGGUUAUGAUAAUUAUUAUAAAAAAUAGUUAGAGCUGAAGUUUAGAAUGCGUAAUACCCUAAGGGGUUAUAAGUAGUUGUUUUCAUACUUCCUAGAAAAACUCUUGUAGUUAAUAAUAUGAGCCUGUACCGUAAACUGACACAGGUGGGUAGGUAGAGAAUACUAAGGGGCGCGAGAUAACCCUUUUUAAGGAACUCGGCAAAAUGGCUCUGUAACUUCGGGAGAAAGAGUGCCUCUAUUUAUAGAGGUCGCAGCAACCAGAUCCAUGCGACAGUUUAUCAAAAACUCAAGUCUCUGCUAAGUUGUAAAACGAUGUAUAGGGGCUGACGCCUGCCCAGUGCCGGAAGGUUAAAGAAAUUGGUUAGCUUUUGCGAAGCUGGUGACUGAAGCCCCGGUGAACGGCAGCAAUAACUAUAAUUGUUCUAAGGUAGCGAAAUUCCUUGUCAGGUAAGUUCUGACCCGCACGAAAGGCGUAACGAUAUGGAUACUGUCUCAGAAAGGGACUCGGUGAAAUAGAAUUGACUGUGAAGAUGCGGUCUACCUGCACUUGGACAGAAAGACCCUAUGAAGCUUUACUGUAUCUUGAUAUUGAUUUAGAAUUUCUUUUGCGCAGAAUAGGUGGGAGGCUAUGAUACUCUUUUUUGGAAGUUGUGGAGCCUAAAUGUGAGAUACCACUCUUAAGGAAUUUGGAAUCUAAUGGCAUUUUUAUAAGAUGUUUGAAAAUUUCAGGGGGGCAGUUUUACUGGGGCGGUAGCCUCCUAAAAGGUAACGGAGGCGUACAAAGGUUUUUUCAAUUUGGGUGGAAAUCAAAUGUAGAGUGUAAAGAUAUAAAAAAGCUUGACUGUAAGACUUACUAGUCAAACAGAGACGAAAGUCGGUCUUAGUGAUCCGACAGUUGCAAAUGGAAGCGCUGUCGCUAAACGGAUAAAAGUUACUCUAGGGAUAACAGGCUGAUCUCCCCCAAGAGUUCACAUCGACGGGGAGGUUUGGCACCUCGAUGUCGGCUCAUCGCAGCCUGGAGCAGUAGUAUGUUCCAAGGGUUGGGCUGUUCGCCCAUUAAAGCGGUACGUGAGCUGGGUUCAGAACGUCGAGAGACAGUUCGGUCCAUAUCCGGUGUAGGCGUUAGAGUAUUGAAAAUAGCUUUCCUUAGUACGAGAGGACCGGGAAAGUCACACCUCUGUUGUGCCAGUUUUCGUGCCAACGGAAGAUGCUGGGUAGUUAUGUGUGGAGUGGAUAACUGUGAAAAAGCAUA